CUAAUGGUGAUGUCACUGAGAACUGCCAUGGCCUAUAUCCUGACCAGCUUUCCUUACAUUGACUGGUUCGAGGGUGCCCAUUCCAGAUACAACUUCUUUAGGAAUGAAUAUUUCUCAUUGGAGACCAGAGAAGAGACCUGCAGUUCCAUGAUUAAUAAACGUCAUUGCAAGACAUCAAAGCAAAAUGUAAAAGUGUGAAUGGAAUAAAUAUUUUAGGACAGU